CAGCACCAAGGAGUUUCCGGUCCCGGUACAGAUCAGUGAGGAAGAGGCUAUUGACAAGUGUGGAUUUGCCCAGGCCAGACUCUCCUGAGAGGAGAGAGGACAGAGGCACCAAAUCAGAAGGGACCCUUCUCUGGGCUGUCUGAUAGUCUGCAGAGACACAGCUGCUUUUGUGCUCUGGGAGAGAGGGACUCCUUGGAGAUCUGGUCUCGUUAGUAGUCGUAAUUCUUUGGAUGGGCUCAGUUUGUACUGCUUCAUCCUUUGGAGAAGGCUCCAGACCCUCCUUUACUCUCCCGAGAUUUUAGAAAUUCUCAGGACUCAUCCAGAGAAGGAAUCAGCCAGAAGAUCCUAUGAAGACAAGGUCAAACCAAACACGCUGUGUUAGCCCAUUUUAAUAAG